rnacentral:rRNA from 1 species
CCUACGGGGGGCAGCAGUGAGGAAUAUUGGUCAAUGGACGAGAGUCUGAACCAGCCAAGUAGCGUGAAGGAUGACUGCCCUAUGGGUUGUAAACUUCUUUUAUAAAGGAAUAAAACGAGGCACGUGUGCCUUUUUGCAUGUACUUUAUGAAUAAGGAUCGGCUAACUCCGUGCCAGCAGCCGCGGUAAUACGGAGGAUCCGAGCGUUAGACGGAUUUAUUGGGUUUAAAGGGAGCGUAGAUGGGUUGUUAAGUCAGUUGUGAAAGUUUGCGGCUCAACCGUAAAAUUGCAAUUGAUACUGGAAGUCUUGAGUACAGUUGAGGGAGGCGGAAUUCGUGGUGUAGCGUGGAAAUGCUUAGAUAUCACGAAGAACCCCGAUUGCGAAGGCAGCUUACUAAACUGUGACUGACAUUGAUGCUCGAAAGUGUGGGUAUCAAACAGGAUUAGAUACCCUGGUAGUC